rnacentral:rRNA from 1 species
CUGAACCUUCGGGGAACGUUAAGGGCGUCGAGNGNCGGACGGGUGAGUAAUGCCUGGGAAAUUGCCCUGAUGUGGGGGAUAACCAUUGGAAACGAUGGCUAAUACCGCAUAAUAGCUUCGGCUCAAAGAGGGGGACCUUCGGGCCUCUCGCGUCAGGAUAUGCCCAGGUGGGAUUAGCUAGUUGGUGAGGUAAGGGCUCACCAAGGCGACGAUCCCUAGCUGGUCUGAGAGGAUGAUCAGCCACACUGGAACUGAGACACGGUCCAGACUCCUACGGGAGGCAGCAGUGGGGAAUAUUGCACAAUGGGCGCAAGCCUGAUGCAGCCAUGCCGCGUGUAUGAAGAAGGCCUUCGGGUUGUAAAGUACUUUCAGCAGUGAGGAAGGUGGUGUGNUUAAUACNCNCAUCACUUGACGUUAGCUGCAGAAGAAGCACCGGCUAACUCCGUGCCAGCAGCCGCGGUAAUACGGAGGGUGCGAGCGUUAAUCGGAAUUACUGGGCGUAAAGCGCAUGCAGGUGGUUUGUUAAGUCAGAUGUGNAAAGCCCGGGGCUCNACCUCGGNAAUAGCAUUUGAAACUGG